ACCCAAUAGAUACCCAGGUAGUCCACGCUGUAAACGAUGGGCACUAGGUGUCCGAGGUAUUGACCCCUUGGGUGCCGCAGCUAAACGCAUUAAGUGCCCCGCCUGGGGAGUACGGUCGCAAGAUUAAAACUCAAAGGAAUUGACGGGGGCCCGGCACAAGCGGUGGAGCAUGUGGUUCAAUUCGACGCAACGCGAAGAACCUUACCUGGGCUAGACAACGGCGGACCGUCCUAGAAAUAGGAUUUUCCCUUCGGGGACUGCCGGUUCAGGUGCUGCAUGGCUGUCGUCAGCUCGUGCCGUGAGGUGUUGGGUUAAGUCCCGCAACGAGCGCAACCCUCGUCCUUAGUUGCCACCAUUGAGUUGGGCACUCUAGGGAGACUGCCGGCGUUAAGCCGGAGGAAGGUGGGGACGACGUCAAGUCAUCAUGGCCCUUAUGUCCAGGGCCGACACACGUGCUACAAUGGGCGGUACAAAGGGUUGCGAACCCGCGAGGGGGAGCCAAUCCCAAAAAGCCGCUCUCAGUUCGGAUUGGAGUCUGCAACUCGACUCCAUGAAGUUGGAA
rnacentral:rRNA from 1 species